ACCUGUGUGUAUAUUUAAAAAAAUAUAUAUUUAUAUUGUUUUACUUAGACUUUUCACGACUUCCGCCGAAAUCGGUCCCUCUCCUUCUUGGGGCGGCGUUCGGCGGUCGACGUUACCGGUCUUCUAGCCAUCGCCACUCCACCUUUCAUUUUCCAUUUGUUUUGUCUUGUUUUCCUGCACACCUGCUUCACAUUCCCUCAUCAGACUAAAUGUUUAUUACCUUUUGUUUCCCUCAUGUCUGUGUGUGGAAUUGUUCUUUGUGUAGGGUGUUUACGCUACAGGCUGGCUUGCGCUAGGUUUGUUUCUAACCUAGGUUUGUUUCGUUUUAUCCGGUUCAUGUUACUGUGGUUGUGCUUUGUGCUUCCUCGCCUGUGCCUUUGGGCCAGGGUGUAUAUUAAAGCUCUCCUGUUAUCACCCAUCUCUGCUCUCCUGCGCCUGACUUCCCGGCAACCAGUCACUCACCCCGUUACAAGCCUAGAUAAUUGUUUGUACAGUAUGUCGACUUUGGUGUCUAUUUCAGACCUUAAGGCAUUUUUAAGGAUGAGCAUAAGAGGAGACCACUAGAAGUCUGGCCAUGUGGAGAAGUGCAGCUAUAGUGAGGAGCAACUUACCGGUUUGGUCAGGCCCAGCAUGAGGGAUAAAGUUUAUCCUUUGUUGAAGGCUGGAUCGGAAACCCAGUUACGACACUCGGGUCUGUAGCUGCCAUUUUCCUGACGGGAAAGAGAAAGGGCCCUGUAUUUACCAGUAGGAGAGAACGAUCCAGAACUGUUGAUUGGGGAAACAAGAACAAACAAUGAGGCAUGACGAUUGGGUGUUCAGGGAUACAACUUGUCACAUUGUCCGUGUCCCAACAGGAGUGGAUCCUUCAGACCAUCCGGGACAUCCUGUUCCAGUGGGAUGUGAGCGUCCAGCUGCAGAGACUACAGCACAUCGAGUCUGUGGACGGACAGCUCAGUAACACGUCAAAUAUGAUACAAUAGUGUGUAAAACAUUGAAUUUGUAGAUGCAUCGAAAUUUUGAUUGUAUGUCUUUGAUUUUAUUUUAUUUACUUCCUAGAUAUAGAAAUCCUUUGACUUCACUGCCUCUACAAUGGUACAGUAAGGGCCCGUGCACCAUAUGGACCCUUGACCUCCAGCACUGCUGUGGUGCCCACCAGACCAUCCAGUGAGGCACCUAGGAUCCCAGACCUUAUGACCCAAAGCCCUGACUCCUGCACAUCCAUCCUUGUAGACAUUUUGAAUGCCUUGAUGCACUCCUCUUUGUUAACUGUGCCCCACUUUACAGACAUCACCCCAUCCAACAACUGUGAUCUGAGGACUCUUUUUAUUUAUUUUAUUUUUUAAUCAGCGACGAAGUAACGCACUUAGCCCUAACCACUGUCCCAUAAUUGCUGGCCGUCAACUUUCCUCUCCUCAUGAUGUGCCAGUUGAGGUUGGUGUGCUGUCCAACUGUUGCCUGCCGUAUAGUCUCCUGCUGCUCCACCGACAGAGUCAUGCCAGCCAGGAUGCCUGCAUGCCCCAGAGAGGGCAGCGGUUGUUCUGGCUCAGGUUUAAGGAGACAUGCUAUUCCACUGAACCGGUUCCUUAGUCACUGAAGAACCUCCUCUGUGGGCUCUCGGGACAGUGGGUUUUAGUCUUCAGCCAGGUACAGAUCCUCCACUGACUGCGCCUCGUUGGGCACGGCUGGCUUCCUUCACUCGCAUUCCAUAUCCGUACGGACAAUAUCGGUAAACACCAAAAUAGGCUUCAUGGCUACACGGAUGAGCUCGAUGGAGGCAUUCCCAUGUGGUAGAGAGAAUCCCCUGGUCACCUAUAGAGACCUGACAACAGGAAGUGGUCAACUAUAGAGACCUGUCAACAGGAAGUGGUCACCUCUAGAGACCUGCCAACAGGAAGGAGGUUAAGAGCUACAUGUGGUAGAAAUAAUCCCCUGUUCACCUAUAGAGACCUGACAACAGGAAGUGGUCAACUAUAGAGACCUGUCAACAGGAAGUGGUCACCUCUAGAGACAUGCCUACAGGAAGGAUGUUAAGUGCUACAUGCCUUUCAGUGCACGACUUUAAACAACUUGAAAUUAAUUUGUUGUAAAAAAUGUGCUAUAUAAAUAAAGUUUCAUUUGAUUGAUGACAUUACAUCUGUAGAAUGUGUCCACUGUGGCGGACUACAGACAACAUGGACAGUAUAUGAAUAGAAAAGGUGUGUACAGCAGUAGAAUAAUGUAAACAUAUUUUACAAUCCAGGUGUGCAAAGCUCAGACUUACCCAGAAAGACUCACAGCUGUAAUCACUGCCAAAGGUGAUUCUAACAUGUAUUGACUCAGGGGUGUGAAUUCUUAUGUAAAUUAGUUAUUUCUG